UACGUAGGUGGCAAGCGUUGUCCGGAAUUAUUGGGCGUAAAGCGCGCGCAGGCGGCCUUUUAAGUCUGAUGUGAAAGCCCACGGCUCAACCGUGGAAGGUCGUUGGAAACUGAAAGGCUUGAGUACAGAAGAGGAAAGCGGAAUUCCACGUGUAGCGGUGAAAUGCGUAGAGAUGUGGAGGAACACCAGUGGCGAAGGCGGCUUUCUGGUCUGUAACUGACGCUGAGGCGCGAAAGCGUGGGGAGCAAACAGG
rnacentral:rRNA from 1 species